GUGACGCGCGUGACUGCAGCUGCUCCUCACACCCGGGAAAGUUACAAGUAAUGGAGAACAAGAGAGGACGACAGGACCACAGAUAAUCUUUGAAACAACAAAAGAAACCUUAAACAACAGGCUAAAUAGUCGAUCAUAUAUGGUCUACUGGAAAUUAAGCACCAGUCUUUCGAGCACAAACGCCAUCAACGUCGUCUGCCCAACAAGCCUGCAUGAAGCUGCAGCUGGACUGGGAAUGUCAUCAGCACCAAACCCCCGACACUUCUCCAUCCCCCUGUGUGCUGAGGCAGACAAGAGGCGAGCCUGAAAUGUAGCUGUGUACAUUCUCUGCUUCCUCACAUUAAUGUUUUGUAAACAAUAAGGAGAUAA